AACUGAAGCCAAGAAAUAAAUCCUUCUUCUUUAGGGAUUCCUUUUAUAGAAGGGAAAGCCCACAGACAGGUGGCCCUAGUCUAUGUAGUGCAUGGCUUUCAGCUGCUUGUCAGAAUAAUAGAUGACAUUUCUCUGAAUUCUAAGGGUGAAGGGCUUACUGAAGGUAUUUGUCCUGAUCUCCUCCUCUUGUCUCUACUGAGUGGAUCAAGAAAACCCUCUCACAGCACUCAAAGAGCAAAGGAAAAAUGCCAAAAUGAGUGGGUGAGCUCAGCCAAUGGUCAAAGGCUGUUUUAUUAUGACGUUAAGUAUUUAAGACAGACUGAGCUGAUUGAUUAUAUUAAUCCUGCUGCUCUGGGCUCAAAAAGGCAUUGUUUCCUCUGAAACCAAACAGGCAUGAAGCCCUUCUAUGAAUGAAUCAAAAACAUUUCACCACAUGCUAAAGAAACGGUUCAUGUGACUCAUCCGCAAAGGAGCCCAAGAGGGUGGCGGAGAAGAAGAGAAAAGCAACGAUUUUCCAGACCCUUUUAAAGGACAUCCAGCCACAAUAGAGCACACUGCAGUGAGCUGAAGUGAAUGUUGCCAAGUCAUAAUGACAAGACUGUUUCCCUCCACCCUCCCAAGAAAUGACAGAAUUCGCACUACAGCCCAUGUAGUAAAAAGGUUUUCCAAGAGCAGAACCAGGAAAAGAGUGAAGACAAGUCCAAGGAUGGAUCAAGGAGGGAAAUGAGCUUACCAUCUCAAGAGCAUGCUCUCCAUGGAGAAUCAUAUUAGGGGAGAUCCUCAUAUUUGGAGAACUUCUUUGUCGAUGAGACUGAUCUAGAAACAGGAAAGGAUAACAGAACCAUAUGAUGGAAGAGAAACAAAUUAUCUUCGGAAAUGAAUUGCGGUGAUGAGAUCAGCGUAUCCUUUCAACCUCUCCUGAGUGAUGAUAUGUCAACUAUCUUCCACUUUACAAAAUGAUCAUGCAAAUAAAGGGAAUUUAUUUAUGAGUUCUGGGCAUGAGGCGAAUAAUGAGGUCCUUAAUUGAGUUGGCCUUUGCCUUAAGCAUUAUUUAGAAGGAGGGUGUCAGGAGGGUACAGUAUGAUACUUCAGGCAAACAAGCCAGACUCUUGUCUUGCUAACUGUCUAAGUUCAAAUAGAUUUUUCCCUUUAAUGGGGACAAUAAAAAAGGCAAUCUGGGUUUAAAAGACAUUCUGUGCCAAUUCCCACUUUUGUAGGAAACAAAUGAAAACCCAAAGUGAUAGAGCCAGAUCCUGCUCUUUUCUUACAGUGGAGUUUGAUUAAGAAAAAGAACCCAACAUAAACAUAUGGAGAUGAAGAGUUGUCGUGAUCUAUUCUGCAGGGGUAUACACACAUCACAAACAAGGCACUUCGUUAUCAUACCAUGUUGAGAGGCCAUCUUAUGGGAUAUUGAAAUUUGUAGUUUAAUAAUAACAAUAACAAUAAUAAUAUCCACCUCUCCUGGGAAUAAGGUGGAAUAUAAAUAAAGGAAGGAUGGAUGCAUGGAUGGAAAUGGAGAUUCAUGGAUAGACCCUGAGAUCUGGCAACCCAAGAUGGCCAUUGCAUGCUAAUAUCCAUACCAUAUCUCUUAGAAUUAUCAGGAGAGCAGAAGGCAGAAUCUUGCCUUCCUUGUUGAAAAUUAUAAAAUUGCAUUGGAGAGGUAUGAUUCCCCUCUGAGGUCACCAUAGAGCAGUGGUUCUCAACCUGAAGUCUCCAGAUUUUUUGUCCUUCAACUCCCAGAAAUCCUAACAGCUGAUAAACUGGCUGGGAGUUCUGGGAGUUGUAGGCCAAAAACAUCUGGGGACCCCAGGUUGAGAACCACUGCCAUAGAGUUACAUUAAAGGCCCUAGCAAAUCCUUAAAGAGGAUACCUCUCCAAUGCAUCUCUAUAGUACGCUGGGAUUGAAAGCUAUGCAAUUUAAUGGCAUUGGGUCCUAUCCACAGUUUCAUGUCACCAUUGCCAGGAGCAUAUCCUCUAUGGCUCCAAGGGCUUUAUUGUACUUUUGUGUUUUGAACUUACUUUGCAGCAAGUGUGCUGAGGACAAAGGGGAAGGAGAGAGAAAUCAGGACAUUUUAAGAACACCUGAAAAAUUAAGGAACCCCAAGGAGUGCAUUGCUUUCUUUUCUAUACUCACAGCAAAUGGGCCAGGUAGGUUGGGAUAAGAGAGAAGCUGGCCCAAGAUCACCCAGUGACUUUCAUACCAUUCUUAAACCGUCUUUGUUCUUGGAUGAGAUCAUGUUGCUUCCAUACCCUGACAUCCCUUCUCUGCCUGCCACUUUCUCAGAAGAAUCAAUUUUCAGUGAACUCUGAAAGUUACAAGAUCAGGAAGAGCUUUUAAGGACAGACACCAUGUCCACUUCCCCUGGGUUGUUGUGUUGGGGCCUAAGCAAAAAAGUAAUCUGGUGUAUGGCUUGGAAUGCUCAAUUGAGAUUUGACAGCUCAACUUUCUAGUCAUCAUGGAGCCGUAAUGACAUCUGCCAGCAAUGAACGGAUCAAAGCAUUGACAUCUCCAGCCCAUCCUCUGUUCGGAUAUCAGCCAGCAUGCCAAUGCCUUAAAUCAGGAAAUAGUUUUCUAAGAUCUACAGAGAUACUUCCAGGAACACCCCAGCAAGCAAGAGUCCAAAAGUGGCAGGCUAAAACCCAGAACUUCAAUUAGUGGCUGACGCCAGAUGAGAGACUCCCCCCUGGGCACACAGAAAACUGGGUGGCUUGGAAGGUGCUGAACAGACUGCACUCUAGUACCAUAAGAUGCAGAGCCAACCUUACGAAAUGGGGCUACAAAGUGGAGUCGAUGACAUGCGAGUGUGGGGAAGAGCAAACCACAGACCACUGACUACAAUGUAAUCUGAGCCCUGCCACAUGCACAAUGGAGGACCUUCUUACAGCAACACCAGAGACACUCCAAGUGGCCAGCUACUAGUCAAAGGACAUUUAGUAUAAGGCCAAAUUUUUUAAACUUUAUUUGUGUUUUCAAAUACAUUAAAACUUGUACCCUCGGUUCGCUUCUGACACGACAAAUAAAUAAAUGGAGCCAUGUAACUCACUGGGUGAACUUAAGCCAGUUUCAGCCUAAUCUACUUUACAAAGUUGCUGUGAGAAUGACACAGGGAAGUGGAGACUUGUGUCUGCCUGCUGGAGUUGACUGGAGGAAAAGUGCAAUAUAAAUACAACAAAUAAAGAAGUUAGUUUCAAUGAUAAAACCCUCUACCAGGUUAAGAUCUCUUGUUGGCUCAUAUGCCACAAAACUAGAAGCUAAAGCUGACGUGUUUCACAGUAAUGAAGUCAUGAAUUCACAAGAUAGGAGAUUCCAGCUAAACACCAUUUGCCAGCCUUAAAGGAGCUAUCAUAAGUGCUGAAAUCUUCCUCCAAAGUAGAUUCAGCACCUUUAAAGUUCAGACUAAAAUUCAGAGUGGUUUUAUCAACUCACUAAUGUGGGAACUGUUUACGACACAGACAGGAAAAGGGAGUCACUUGGCUACCACCUUAUUUGUGGCUUUAUAGAUUUAAAGAAUCUCAGUGUAAAUUACUUUGUACUAUGUAGCCUUGGAACUUUAUAAUUGAUAGUCAUUGUCAGUACAAGUUUCAACAUGGAAAAAUCCUUUAACUGCUUCACAAUAAAUGAAGACUGUACUCAAGAAACCAAAGGCUGAGACAUGGAAAGGCAAUCAUGAAGAAACUAGAGAAGAUACAAAUGUGUAAUGAUGUAUCAUUAAAUCUUGAAGUUAGAAUAAUACAAGCUUCUGAUUUCUGAUUUCUAUGCAUGGUUGUGAAAACUGGGCAUGGAGGAAAGUUAACAGGGAAGAAGAUCAGCUUAUUUGAACUGUGGUGUUGUAUUGCCACUUGUCAGAGAGUUCUGCAGAUACCAUUGAGUGCUUGGAAGACCAACAAAUAGGUCCCAGAGCAAAUGAGGUUGAGCUUUCCCCAAGAGUGAAGAUGAUGAAACUGAGGCUGUCAUACUUUGGGCAUAUCAUGAGACAACUUGGUUGAUUAGAAAGGAUGAUCAGACUUUUAAAGUGGUAGAAAAAGAGGGGGAGCACACUAAUGAUAGAUUGAUUCAGUCAGAUAAAGGAAAAGGUUUUCCCCUGACGUUUAGUCCAGUCGUGACCAACUCUGGGUGUUGGUGCUCAUCUCCAUUUCUAAGUCGAAGACCUAUUGAUCUACUCACAUUUGCAUGUUUUCGAACUGCUAGCUUGGCAGGAGCUGGGGCUAACAGCUGGCGCUCAUUCCGCUCCCGGGAUUUGAACCUGGGACCUUUUGAUCUGCAAGUUCAGCAGCUCAGCGCUUUAACACACUGUGCCACCAGGGACCCCUGAUUCAGUCAAGGAACCCUGAAUUUGCAAAACCUGAACAGGGCAAUUGCGGACCAGGGCUUAUGGAGGCCUCUCAUUCAUAAAAGGUAAAGGUUUUUCCCUGACAUUAAGUCUAGUCAUUGGCAGAAGCUGGGGCUAAUAGUGGGAUCUCAUCCUGCUCCUGGAAUUCAAACCAUUGACCUUUUGGUCAGCAAGUUCAGCAGCUCAGCGGUUUAAUCUGCUGCACCAUCAGGGGCUCAUACAUAGGGUCACUAUAAGUCAAAGCUGACUUGAUGGUAAAUAAGAACAACUUCCAUAGUCCAAUUAUAGGAAACCGAAAAAGGCCCUAUUUUGGAUUAUAAUCUCUGUGCUGGAUAUGGACUCUGGAAUUAUGUUCUCAAAAUACAACAAAUCCAGCCACUUGAUCAGCAUGGCAUAGUAAGAGCAGUGCCUAGCACCAGUGUGUUGUUGGUAUCUAUUCUCUUUUUGGAAAGGAGUGCAAAUUAGCCUCUGUGCAUGCAACCUGACCUGCUGGUUAGCUGCCUCCCAUUUAGCCACCCAUCUCUGGCUAGCUGCACAUAGACCUGCGUCACGGAGGCAGUUGAUAAAGCCAGUUUCCACCAAGUCACCAAGCAGGUAGAGCAGAGACUAGAUGAACCUCAUUUCAUGGGUCCCCACCCAGAGUAUUUGCUAUUGCUCGGCACUGCCUAUAGCAUCAGGGCAUCUUUUACCUUAACACUAUCCAAGCAAACAGGCUGGGGAAAAAAGUUGAAUGGCCUGUCUUAAAUCCAGAGUAAGCAUUAGCAUUUGAACAAAACCUCCUUUUCCUCCUUCUCUGACCCCCUCCCUCCAGCUCACCCCAGGUUAAUACACAAUCUAGAACGAUCUGUUGCUUUUGAAUCUAAGCUCUGGUGAAAAGCCAAAGAGAUGACGUUGUCAGUCUUGCUCGGUCAUGCAGUACACUGGCCAAUGCACAUUUUGGUGUCUCAAAAUUUUGACCUGCUGAUUUCUCAUAUGAGCUCUAGUUUUUGUGAUACAGAACAUAUACCAUAUAUCAAUAUUCAUCUGCUUACCCACAGAAAAUCAUGAGAACCAUAUAUAAAAACCAAGACACCAAGAAAAUGGGGGAGUGGGGAGAAAAGAUGGUAUUGAUCAUAUCAGCAUUUUCAACCAUUCUUCUUGGGAAUUAUACUGCCUAGAAUCCUCUGUCCCAAAUAGCUCCUAAAAUGGUGAAGGUUUAUGGGAUCUCCCACUUUGGGUUAGCCAAGUGAAUUGAGAAUUUAGUAGACCAUAAAACUUCGAUGGCCAUGAGUUUCAUCUGGGCUGAUGUGUUGUUUUGUGUUUAAUUCUGGAAUGUCACCUUCUUCAAAAUAAAGGGAAUUCAUUUGGACAUCAGGACCACAACGGCUGCUAAACAGAAACCCCAUGUCCUGCAGCAGUGAACCUCUGAAUACCAUUUGCUAGCGUCAAAUACAAAGAGAAGGAUGUUGUCUUUGAUUGAGAUCCUAUUUAAUGGUCACCAGGCAAAAAUGUAUGCUUCCAUAGCUAUGCUGGAAUUGUAAUGGAUCACACCACGUUGUGUGUAACGGGGCAACAAU